rnacentral:rRNA from 1 species
AUUGAACGCUGGCGGCAUGCCUUACACAUGCAAGUCGAACGGCAGCACGGGAGCAAUCCUGGUGGCGAGUGGCGAACGGGUGAGUAAUAUAUCGGAACGUGCCCAGUCGUGGGGAUAACGUAGCGAAAGCUACGCUAAUACCGCAUACGAUCUAUGGAUGAAAGCGGGGGAUCGCAAGACCUCGCGCGAUUGGAGCGGCCGAUAUCAGAUUAGGUAGUUGGUGAGGUAAAGGCUCACCAAGCCGACGAUCUGUAGCUGGUCUGAGAGGACGACCAGCCACACUGGGACUGAGACACGGCCCAGACUCCUACGGGAGGCAGCAGUGGGGAAUUUUGGGACAAUGGGCGCAAGCCUGAUCCAGCAAUGCCGCGUGCAGGAUGAAGGCCUCGGUGU